GCGCUGGCGGCGCCUUGGAGGGAUGGGGCGUGUUUGCGCGGUGUGUCCCAUCUUCUGGGCUCGAACCGGAUUCCCGUGGACGUUUGCCCUCAGGGGCGGGGCGCGACACGAAAAGCAUCCGUGGAGCUCAAGUUUGAGGUGAAACCAGGCUCAGGGUCCACCCGUCCUCGCUGAUCCAUGGAUUUCUGUGUGACCAGGUCCUGGGCUAGACAGAGAGCGACUCUACUGGGAGCUGAGCCAUGA